UCACCCCUCAAGCCCGGCUUGUUUGUUGGAUGCAGCGCUCAUCCCGCUCCUCCCAAAGAUAAUGACGGCGUCUGCGACGACUCCUGUACACUGAGCUUUCGGGCACGUACACGGCUAGAAGUCCAGACCCGGUCGCCGUCCCCCCACGGGACACCCAUUACCACAA
rnacentral:misc_RNA from 1 species